UCGGAUAUGGUGUAUCGGCUAGCAUCACCCGCUUUCAACUGAGAGUUCCGGGUAGAGCCGGGUUCGACUCCCGGUAUCCGAA